UACGUAGGUGGCAAGCGUUGUCCGGAUUUACUGGGCGUAAAGGGCGUGCAGGCGGUUUGUUAAGUGCAGAGUGAAAGCUCCCGGCUCAACUGGGAGAGGUCUUUGCAUACUGGCAAACUCGAGGGAGGCAGAGGAAAGUGGAAUUCCCGGUGUAGUGGUGAUAUGCGUAGAUAUCGGGAGGAACACCUGUGGCGAAGGCGGCUGUCUGGGCCGUACCUGACGCUGAGACGCGAAAGCGUGGGGAGCGAACCGG
rnacentral:rRNA from 1 species